rnacentral:lncRNA from 1 species
GCUCUCUCUAUAGGUUCUGAUGGGCUGCCUCUGCAUUGCCAGGCGUUCCAAGAGCAUCAGCCAUGGUCUUGAUGCUGUUGCAAAGCCAACACUGUGUCUGUUGGGAGCUCUGGCUGGACAGAGCUGAGGUUAUGGCCAGAUUUAGACAGCUGGCAACAGUACUGUCAUCAGCUGGUGCAAGAUGAACUUCUGAAGACCCAGAGUAGCCCAAUAGUGAUCAGAUAGCGGACCUUGGCCAGAAGGAUCCCCCUCCAUGAGUCCAGCCCACCUUGCCAGAGGAGCUGCGGUGCAGACACCUUUGGCCCUGGGUUGGGCACCUGACUUCAAAGGGAGAGCCGGCUCCUGAGAGGUAUGGAAAAGAAGGAAAUGGUUCUGUGAAAUAAGAGACAUCGUUAUCUAACAAGGUG